CAAGCUCGCGGCAACAUGGCUGCUUGCACCACGACUGAAAGAGGAGGACCGGGGAGGGUUCGGCUUCACUCGGCUCUUUCCGGCCCUCCCCGCUGACCCACUCACUCAGACUCUACUAAGUCAUCCCCAUCAUUCUAGAGCAUUGGAGUCAAACAUGCGGCCCGCGGGCCAAAAGCGGCCCUCCAGAGGGUCCAAUCCGCCCGAGGUCUCCUCCCUCCACGGCGACAUUCAGUGUGACGCCGUCUGUCCACGUCUCCUCCUCCCACUGCUCCCACGACAAACACCUGGAGAAGAAACAGCACAGAAAUCAGCGACAG